rnacentral:rRNA from 1 species
CCUACGGGAGGCUGCAGUGGGGAAUAUUGGACAAUGGGGGCAACCCUGAUCCAGCCAUGCCGCGUGUGUGAAGAAGGCCCUCGGGUUGUAAAGCACUUUCAGUGAGGAAGAACGCCUGGUGGUUAAUACCCAUCAGGAAAGACAUCACUCACAGAAGAAGCACCGGCUAACUCCGUGCCAGCAGCCGCGGUAAUACGGAGGGUGCGAGCGUUAAUCGGAAUUACUGGGCGUAAAGCGCGCGUAGGUGGCUUGAUAAGCCGGUUGUGAAAGCCCCGGGCUCAACCUGGGAACGGCAUCCGGAACUGUCAAGCUAGAGUGCAGGAGAGGAAGGUAGAAUUCCCGGUGUAGCGGUGAAAUGCGUAGAGAUCGGGAGGAAUACCAGUGGCGAAGGCGGCCUUCUGGACUGACACUGACACUGAGGUGCGGAAGCGUGGGUAGCAAACAGGAUUAGAUACCCGAGUAGUC